rnacentral:misc_RNA from 1 species
CCGCCUUUGCACGGGCUUUGUGCGCGUGGUUGCCGGGUGACGGACGCGAGUUCGUGACAAACUGGAGGGAAGGAGAGAAGGAGAAAUACAAGCACUGUCCGUACUGUCUUCCGUCCUUGGGACGGACAUCAAGCCCUCGGGGACUGUGUGUCACCCCAUCGAGCCAUGGCUGUCGGCCAGCCCUGACGGCGUCAUCGUCACCCACAGGGAAGACAACACCACCACCACCACUGUAGUUGAAGUGAAGUGCCCUCUAGUGGCCGAUACUCUGAGAGACGAGGUUUGCACCAGAGGUGCGGGGGGUCUAGAGUACGACCCCUCCAACAGAAGCGACCCCUACUCCCUGGAGCAGUUCGGGAACAAGUCGCAGGUGCAGCUGACCAUGCACUGUGUGGGGGCCAGAAGCUGCCAGUACUUCGUCUUCAGCACACCCUCCGACCACAUCCUCAUCGACGUCGACUACGACGAGACGUUUGUGCAAAACUUAGUGGGGGUUUUAAAGAAGUUUUAUUUCAGGACCAUGCUUCCCGCGCUCGUUGACAAGACGGAGAGCGGGGAGCUUGAGAUAGGAGGCACGUACCUGUCCCUGUGCUCACAGCCCCAGACUCAGUAAGUGUGUGAACUGACAGUGAGCAUCUCACAGUGUGAGACUCGGUGAACACACAGUGAACAUAUCACGUUAUGAGACUCAGUGAACUGACAUUGAACAUCUGACAGUGUGAGACUCAGUGAAUUGACAGUGAACAUCUGACAGUGCGAGACUCAGUGAAUUGACAGUGAACAUCUCACAGUGUGAGACUCAGUGAAUUGACAGCAUGGGUGGGAGACNUCCGUAAUUUUACGGAAUUUCCGUUAAAAAAAAAAAAAAAAACAAAAAAAAAAAACCCUUUUGAAGCNCAAAAUUAACUUAAGAAACCCCCCCAAACCCNUGCCCNGCUUCNCAAAUUCACANCCNUUCNAUUUGAUGGAUUUCGUUAAAAAACAAAANAAAAAANCGUNACUUNCAAGUUUCC